rnacentral:rRNA from 1 species
AGCAAUCCAUGAGUAAAGUGGCGCACGGGUGAGUAACGCGUGACUAACCUACCCUCGAGUGGGGAAUAACCUCGGGAAACCGGGGCUAAUACCGCAUAAAACCUUCGGGUCAAAGGAGCAAUUCGCUUGGGGAGGGGGUCGCGGCUGAUUAGCUAGUUGGUGGGGUAAUGGCCUACCAAGGCAGUGAUCAGUAUCCGGCCUGAGAGGGCGCACGGACACACUGGAACUGAAACACGGUCCAGACUCCUACGGGAGGCAGCAGUGGGGAAUUUUGCACAAUGGGGGAAACCCUGAUGCAGCAACGCCGCGUGGAGGAUGAAGUCCCUUGGGAUGUAAACUCCUUUCGACCGGGACGAUAAUGACGGUACCGGUGGAAGAAGCCCCGGCUAACUCUGUGCCAGCAGCCGCGGUAAUACAGAGGGGGCAAGCGUUGUUCGGAAUUAUUGGGCGUAAAGGGUGCGUAGGCGGUGCGGUAAGUCUUCUGUGAAAUCUCCGGGCUCAACUCGGAGCCUGCAGGAGAAACUGCCGUGCUUGAGUAUGGGAGAGGUGAGUGGAAUUCCUGGUGUAGCGGUGAAAUGCGUAGAUAUCAGGAGGAACACCUGUGGCGAAAGCGGCUCACUGGACCAUAACUGACGCUGAGGCACGAAAGCUAGGGGAGCAAACAGGAUUAGAUACCCUGGUAGUCCUAGCCCUAAACGAUGAUUGCUUGGUGUAGCAGGUACCCAAUCCUGCUGUGCCGCAGCUAACGCGUUAAGCAAUCCGCCUGGGGAGUACGGUCGCAAGGCUG